UUAUCUAGCGAAACGAUCAGUCAUUUUCUACAAAAAAUAAAAAAUUAUAUAUGUUUUAUAUUGUAUAUGACAAUUUAGUUCAAACUUUGACCUGUGGAGGGCAGUAAUACACUUAGCGUCUACACUGCCAGAAUUCUAAUAGAGAAGAAGAAGAAGAAGAGAGCUAGUUCAAGAUGAGCGUCUAUGGUUAAAACGUACAUAAUUUUUUAUUUUUUUUUUUAGAAAAUGACCGAUCGUUUUGCUAGAUAAGACCCUUAUUCCUCGUCUUGUAUCGUUUAAAGCCCUUUGAAGCUGCACUGAAACUGUAAUUUUGACCUUCAACCGUUUGGGGCCAAUUGAAGUCCACUAUAAGGAAAAUAAUCCUGGAAUGUUUUCAUCAAAAACCUUAAUUUCUUUUCGGCUGAAGAAAGAAGGACAUGGACAUCUUGGAUGACAUGGGGCACCACUCAUGUACAAGAUAGAGAAGAGGACGCAUGUGCUCCUUCAUGGACAUGUAUCCCAGAUUGAUGAGGGUGGCUAGCCAGAGGCAUGAUGUCCAUCCACAACUCCUGCACAAUUAUCAGGAAAAUGCAAGAAUUGCGUUUGGACAAUCAGUCUCUGACUGCCAGGGUGUAAAGGACAGGCAACACUGGAGAAGGCCACAGAAAUCCAACUCAAUCCAGCUGCUACACAGACAACAGGAUGACACCAAAAGUCUUCUGAAACAGAGUAAAUCAUACAUAUAAAUCAUAAACUUGUGUAAAAAAAAAAAAAAAAAAAAAAAAGCUUAUAUUAUAUUAUAUUAUAUUAUAUUAUAUUAUAUUAUAUUAUAUUAUAUUAAAUGACUGUAUGUAGAGUUUUACUCUCUAAAAUCCAUCUUAUUGUAAUCCUGACACAUUUUCUUCCCAAUGAUGCCAAACCAAUCAAAUAAGUACAUCCAGUAAAUGACUACAUUGUUUAAUUUAAUGGAAAUUCAAUGACACUGCGAUUCUUUUCCACCUUACCUUUAGUUUCCCAGUUUCAUCACAUAUGAACUUCAAAUGUUGUUGAUAAAUCCAUACUGGAGAUUUGUGGUCAGUGACCGUCUUGGUCAGCGUCCUGUUCUGUCUCUGUCGGUAUCUGUGUGUGUCCACAUCUUUCUCUCCCUUUCCUUCUAUCCAUCUCAUUACAUGCAGCAGUGGGGUUGCCUAAGAGACCAGGCCUGAAAAGAGAACAUCUCUUGCACUACAAUACAUGGAGAAAGUGACAUAGGAUUGGGGGGUCGAGGGGUUGAGAGAGAGGGAGAAAGAGUGAGGGAGAAGUAUAGAUGACAGGUGGAUGGAUGCAAGAAUAACUACAUUGGCUUGUGUGACUAUGCUGUAGAUAGUCAAUCUGAUGGAGAGAGUGUCUCAAGCCCUUGAGUUGGAUAAAAUAUGGCUUGACUUUUUCCAAGACUUUAUCUUGAAGUUGUCACUUCACAUGCAUCUAAUGGCUAAUUUGCUUUUAAAGUUGGUCUUUGGCAUAUUACAGAUUAAAAGAGAACACCAAGAAUCAAACAUAUCUGAAAAUCAAGCAUAAAUAAGAA